AGGGCAGUGAUGAGAGGCGCAGGGGUACGGACCUCAGCUGAUGAUGGGAGCUGAAUGUUGGUGUUUUCAAUCCAGAUCAGCAGGCAUGUGGUCAGCUGACUGGAGGGCACCAGCAUGAAAGUCGCCUUUACUGAGCCCU
ensembl:snoRNA